rnacentral:rRNA from 1 species
UACGUAGGGACCGAGCGUUGUCCGGAAUCAUUGGGCGUAAAGAGCGUGUAGGCGGCCACUUAAGUCCUGCGUGAAAUCUUGCGGCUCAACCGCAAGCGGUCGUGGGAAACUGGGUGGCUAGAGUGCGGGAGAGGAGAGUGGAAUUCCUGGUGUAGCGGUGGGAAUGCGCAGAUAUCAGGAGGAACACCGGUGGCGAAGGCGGGUCUCUGGGCCGAUACUGACGCUGAGGAGCGAAAGCAUGGGUAGCGAACAGG